UACGGGGGGAGCAAGCGUUGUUCGGAUUUACUGGGCGUAAAGGGCGCGUAGGCGGCCACUGCAAGUCGGUUGUGAAAUCUCCGGGCUUAACCCGGAAAGGUCAACUGAUACUGUGCGACUAGAGUGCAGAAGGGGCAACUGGAAUUCUCGGUGUAGCGGUGAAAUGCGUAGAUAUCGAGAGGAACACCUGCGGCGAAGGCGGGUUGCUGGGCUGACACUGACGCUGAUGCGCGAAAGCCAGGGGAGCGAACGGG
rnacentral:rRNA from 1 species